GACGAACGCUGGCGGCGUGCCUAAUACAUGCAAGUCGAACGCAGUGGGGACGGGUGAGUAACACGUGGGUAACCUCCCAUCAGAGGGGAUAACACUUGGAAACAGGUGCUAAACCGAUACUGAUGGAUGGACCCGCGGUGCAUUAGCUAGUUGGUGAGGUAACGGCGCACCAAGGCCACGAGGCAUAGCCGACCUGAGGGGUGGAUCGGCCACAGUGGAACUGAGACAGGGCCCAGACUCCUCCGGGAGGAAGAAGUGGGGAAUCUUGGGCAAUGGGCGAAAGUCGGACCGGGCAACGCCGCGUGAGUGAAGAAGGUUUUCGGAUCGUAAAACUCUGUUGUUAGGGAAGCGGUAUCUAACCAGAAAGCCACGGCUAACUACGUGCCAGCAGCCGCGGUAAUUC
rnacentral:rRNA from 1 species